GACGUUGGCACACAGGCUAAGUUGACCAAAUCAGUUCCUCUUUGAGCGAGUUUCACAAGAAAAGGCUGUUGAAAAUGAACUUCACCGUAUGCUUCAUAGCCCUUACCUUUUUCCUAAUGAGCUCUGAUUGGCAGCCUUCGAGCAAUCCAACAGUGCAAGCGGGAAAAGUAUUAUUCGGCCACAAAGGCUGCUGGGGACAU